UAUCGAGUGAGGGGUGAGGGAGAGAGAAAUUGUUGAUUUUGGAAGGGCUCGCUGGCGAUGCAGACAUUGCUGAGCGGGCAAUUUCUUGUUUUGGCCUUCAUUAUGAAUUUUGAUUGUCUACUAAAUAACCACAAGUGUUUCAGAGAACUGAAGGAAUGAUAUAAACGGAGGAUCCAUACACUGGAUGUGGAUCAUAUUAAUAGAACAACAGGAUGUGGAGCUCCGACUUGGUGAUAAAGCUGUUCUUCCAAUUGAGACUUCAUUUGGUGGAAGCAUCCAUUGCAACUAUGAUUUAUUCCGCCUUCGGCUUCACAUUGUUGGUGAAGUUCAGUUGUUUGCUAACCUCUGCUUGCUAGUUCUGCCAUGCAUCCACAGUAGUUAGCAUCAAUUGGCCUGAGAGAUGCUGGUGUUAUUGCAAGAGAUCGGGCUGCAGAAAUAUAUGGGCUUAAUAUACCGGCAAAUAAAACCCGGGAUGACCAGAUACUGUUACUUGUGUCCUUGUACUUGCAAGGGGUCCAAUAGUAACAAGGACCCAUAAGCCCAAUCAGCCUUUCAGGUAAGCUUUUUGUUUACCAUUAUCAUUAUAUUCUGUUUCCUCAGGAUCAAAAAGUUUAAUAUCAUUGCCCUCACUUCUAAACCAGCAUCGUGUUUGCUCUAGAAGAAGGCCCUAGAGUGUUGUUUAAGCCUUGGCAGUGUUUACAUUGAUGGACAUAAGUUUAACAAAGGUAAUUAGGAUUAAGAGUUCAAUUUGAUUAAUUCCUAAAAUUUUAUAGAUGUGCAGGAAAUCAUUUCUUCUUUAGUCAAAUCUCUCCUCAAUAUCAGAUUGAAAGUCAACCACAAAGAAAGCGAUAAUUGAGACUAGUUGAUGACUCUAAUAAUGGAAUUGCCAAGUGGGGGUUUUUUUUAAGCUGUUUGAAUCAGCUAAAUUCUUUUAUUUAAAUCAUUUAUAAAGUUGUAAUUUGAAUGAUUUGCAAAAGAUGCAUUGCAUUUGAUAGAGAACUGACACCUUGGCAACCCAGAUACACCAACAGAGCCAAUCUUUCAGAUAUAUUAUACUGUUGGCACUAAGACACUACUUUGUGCAAUUCUGCAAACUAUUAUACUGAUGCAGAGGAAAUUGUUUUCCUGGAGUCCUAUAUGGCUAAUAUAUAAAAUUAUAUUAGAUUUUUGAUGUUCAGUGUCGCAGCCAGAACUCCAAUGUUUAUUGGGAAAAAAAAACUUCCACCCUCAUUGUAUAACAUUAAUGUUCACUCACAUAAGUGUAAAUAACUAAAUAGCGUAUAGGCAAAAAUUCUUUGAGAUUUGUGAUAACAUCGUUGCUGUUCUGAUGGGUACAUCAGCUACCGUUUUCCUUAUUGAUUUUGGGGCUUCAAUGGCUGAGACCCAUGCACAAAGUUCUUUAGGACGUGUACAGGUUUGUUCUUCAUUUUGUUACUACAUGAAUUUUGCCUUAUGAUAGGGACGUUAAUCUAUAACUCUGAAGUCCCUUAUUACCACUAGUAAAAAUCUUAAGGGUAUUGCUAAGGCAUCUAUUGCAUUUUGUAUGCAGAGGUUUUAAAGCAGAAUGUUCUUUCAAGCUGACAUUAUGCCGCUGUUUGGUUUUAAAUGAGAAAUCAUGAUCUUGUUUAAGGUCUCUUACGACUUUAUGCUUGUUUAGUUGCCAAACUCUGCCAAUGGCAGGUAGAACUCGUGCUUGUGGAGCACAAUCUUUCACAUCACCAAGUUCAAAUGGCCCAUGAUGAAGUUUCUUACAUAUUUCAGUUAAAGAUUUUGGCAGUUAAAUAAAGAACUAUUAGUAAAUUAUAAAGAAAUAAUACUGCAUGGUUUGCAAGAUUAAAUGUCUUAUGAUUAUUGGUUAAAUUCAUUGCUGUGUAACAACUGCUCGGUUUAGUAUUUUUAUUGAUCUCAUGCAGGGGGGUUACUAUGAUCAUUACACCAACCUUCUCUCAUUCUUCUAGUAACUUUUUAUAAUGAUAGCUGUUUCUGAUGACAAGCAAUUCUAUCCAUAUGGGAAAUGACAAUGUAUUAAGGCAUUCCUAUUUUCUCUGCAGGAAUUUGCAAGCUUUCUUCUUCUGCUUGAAUGUUAUCCAAUGGGUACAGCUUUGAAACUGCAUUAUCCUUUGUAGUUCAUCUCAUUACAUUUUCCAUAGUGUAAAUCAAAAGCUUAGUAAUAGUAUUGGUGAAAUUACGCCAAAUCAUGAAUAGACUGUUUCAAGCCAUUGGAAUUCUGAGGAAGGGAAGAAUAGUGAUUAUAUUGCGAAUAAGGCACAACUUAAAGGAGUAGUUGUAAUCUAUGGGUUUAUUUCCAUGAUUAAAAUUUCCAUCGUAGCUUGCAAGCUUUAGGAUGAUGUAUUGUAAAGCACUGAGUCUUACUCAGAGAGAAUAAUAACUUAUGUUACUUUUACUUG